GAUGAACGCUAGCGGCAGGCCUAAUACAUGCAAGCCGGACGGCAAGUUGAGUAGCAAUACUUGACCUAGAGUGGCGUAAGGGUGCGUAACACGUAUACAAUCUGCCCACAGCCGGGAGAUAGCCCUCCGAAAGGAGGAUUAAUAUCCCAUAGGAAGAUGAGAUGGCAUCAUUUUAUUUUUAAACUACGGGGCUGUGGAUGAGCAUGCGGUUGAUUAGCUAGUUGGCGGGUAAGGCCACCAAGGCGAUGAUCAAUAGGGGACCUGAGAGGGUGAUCCCCCACACUGGCACUGAGAUACGGGCCAGGACUCCUACGGGAGGCAGCAGUAGGGAAUAUUGGACAAUGGGUGUAAGCCUGAUCCAGCCAUGCCGCGUGCAGGAAGAAGGCCUUCUGGGUUGUAAACUGC
rnacentral:rRNA from 1 species